CUGAAUCAGUGUGUGUGUUAGUGGAAGCGUCUGGAAAGGCGCGCGAUACAGGGUGACAGCCCCGUACACAAAAAUGCACAUGCUGUGAGCUCGAUGAGUAGGGCGGGACACGUGGUAUCCUGUCUGAAUAUGGGGGGACCAUCCUCCAAGGCUAAAUACUCCUGACUGACCGAUAGUGAACCAGUACCGUGAGGGAAAGGCGAAAAGAACCCCGGCGAGGGGAGUGAAAAAGAACCUGAAACCGUGUACGUACAAGCAGUGGGAGCCUCUUUUAUGGGGUGACUGCGUACCUUUUGUAUAAUGGGUCAGCGACUUAUAUUCUGUAGCAAGGUUAACCGAAUAGGGGAGCCGAAGGGAAACCGAGUCUUAACUGGGCGUUAAGUUGCAGGGUAUAGACCCGAAACCCGGUGAUCUAGCCAUGGGCAGGUUGAAGGUUGGGUAACACUAACUGGAGGACCGAACCGACUAAUGUUGAAAAAUUAGCGGAUGACUUGUGGCUGGGGGUGAAAGGCCAAUCAAACCGGGAGAUAGCUGGUUCUCCCCGAAAGCUAUUUAGGUAGCGCCUCGUGAAUUCAUCUCCGGGGGUAGAGCA
rnacentral:rRNA from 1 species